CCAGACUCCUACGGGAGGCAGCAGUGGGGGAUAUUGCACAAUGGGGGAAACCCUGAUGCAGCGACGCCGCGUGAGUGAAGAAGUAUUUCGGUAUGUAAAGCUCUAUCAGCAGGGAAGAAAAUGACAGUACCUGACCAAGAAGCCCCGGCUAACUACGUGCCAGCAGCCGCGGUAAUACGUAGGGGGCAAGCGUUAUCCGGAUUUACUGGGUGUAAAGGGAGCGUAGACGGUUAUGUAAGUCUGGAGUGAAAGCCCGGGGCCCAACCCCGGGACUGCUUUGGAAACUGUGUAACUGGAGUGCAGGAGGGGCAGGCGGAAUUCCUGGUGUAGCGGUGAAAUGCGUAGAUAUCAGGAGGAACACCGGCGGCGAAGGCGGCCUGCUGGACUGAAACUGACGUUGAGGCUCGAAAGCGUGGGGAGCAAACAGGAUUAGAUACCCCGGUA
rnacentral:rRNA from 1 species